rnacentral:rRNA from 1 species
AUUGAACGCUGGCGGCAGGCCUAACACAUGCAAGUCGAGCGGAUGAAGGGAGCUUGCUCCUGGAUUCAGCGGCGGACGGGUAAGUAAUGCCUAGGAAUCUGCCUGGUAGUGGGGGAUAACGUCCGGAAACGGGCGCUAAUACCGCAUACGUCCUGAGGGAGAAAGUGGGGGAUCUUCGGACCUCACGCUAUCAGAUGAGCCUAGGUCGGAUUAGCUAGUUGGUGGGGUAAAGGCCUACCAAGGCGACGAUCCGUAACUGGUCUGAGAGGAUGAUCAGUCACACUGGAACUGAGAAACGGUCCAGACUCCUACGGGAGGCAGCAGUGGGGAAUAUUGGACAAUGGGCGAAAGCCUGAUCCAGCCAUGCCGCGUGUGUGAAGAAGGUCUUCGGAUUGUAAAGCACUUUAAGUUGGGAGGAAGGGCAGUAAGUUAAUACCUUGCUGUUUUGACGUUACCAACAGAAUAAGCACCGGCUAACUUCGUG